UGUGGGAGCGGGCUUGCCCGCGAUAGCGGUGGUUCAGUCGAUGUUGUAAUGACUGACCCAUCGCUAUCGCGGGCAAGCCCGCUCCCACA
rnacentral:misc_RNA from 1 species